GUUGAAACUCCCUGCUAAUGGAAAUCUAAUGAACCACCACACCAUGACUAGUAACAUGUGUGUUUCAAACAAUACACGCAUUACUCAAUGUUGGGAUGCAUCGCAUUGGGAACAUCUAAAGUCAGGACUUGAGGAGAAAUGCACUGGGCUGCUUCAGCACAAGAGUCAAUAUUAAUCUUAAAGGUUGAAACUCCCUGCUAAUGGAAAUCUAAAUCUUAAACAUUGAAACUCCCUGCUAAUGGAGGUGUGUGAUUCCAGCAGACACAUCACCUGCCCAAGAGAAAACUCCCAUCUGAAACUCACAUCAGGAGCCACACGGUUACAAACUGGAGAGACGAGCUGUGACUGGAAGGGUUGGGAGCUUUUGCCAUCAGCCUUUUUUUGCUGGCGACUGUCAGAGACAACUCCUGACUGCAUGGUGCACAGUUCUGAGUGUGUCCAUCAUGAGUGUUGCUAUAAAGCCAUUGUGUUGAAAUAGGCUUGCGUCUGACGGCAGAAUUGCUGGGUAAACGCUUUCAGCAGGGAAGGGUUUUGUAACCUAUCGAUACUAGCAAACUCUAUGAAUACUUUUGUUGAAUGUCUGUGUUGAAAUGAUCUAGAAAAGUCUAGGAAGUUACCAGGGCAAUUCUAAGUACCAGGCUCUAGAACCAUGCACAGAACUGCACAACUUGCAUACACUCACCUACAGCAACGCUUCUGUCAGUCAGAACUGUAACCAAUGUGACUAUUUUGGUGCAGGUUCGUGCAAACGAGCCACCUGCUCAAACCACUGCUUUAAAUCUACCAGAAUUGUCAACCCUGGCAGCUGUCUGCCAAUAGAAGGGCACUAUGCAAAGAGUCUGUGAAUUUCCUUGCAAUUCAGAGCAGAGGUUUUUCAACUCGUGUUUUACGGGAGGAAACAAAAAAAGCAACUGGUCUACAGCAGCCAACGCAUGACUUAGCUGGCAAGAUCCAGGCUUUUGCUUAAAAUCUGCAGCUUGAUGUUGAAAUUCACUGAGAUAUAUUGCAAAAGGGCAGCGCAUCAGGCAGCACCACUGCUAGCAAGUCAAGGACACAGCUCCAGGACUCAGUGGUGCUACACGUCUGCAGCUCAUUGAAUCCAUGCUCCUACGCUGCAGGUGAUCUCUGAAGGAAAUUCAGCACAGAACAGUAAGAUCAAGGUCUCAUGAAAGCAGCGGUGCUGGCAGAGGACUAACAAAGGCGACUGCAGAGGAGGAUGAAGACCUUCAAGCAAUUGUCCAAGCUUUUACAGGUGAGCAGAAGCCUCUGCCCUCGGGCAUUCCCCCUGGAACAGCCAUCAGGACCCACAGCCAGGAGCACUCAUUACCCACACAGAACCCAGAGGAACCACUCCCACCUCCUACUUUGUUUCCCUCGCCUUUCCUCCUUCAUUUAUUUCCUGUGGGUUUUCCUCUUUGAUUAAAUUUCUGGUAUGUAGGCACACUUAAUAAUAAAACAGAUAACUCAUGGGAGAUGGAUGAUAUUUAUAAGAUCUAUUGCAUUUCUUUCGUUCUUCGUCAGACCUCGAGAGACAAUCCUGAACUACCUGUUUCCUUUCUUUUAAAAAUAGAAAGAAAAAAAGAAAUCAGAUGAGCAGCUGACAAGUUUUUCAAACCAUCACUGUUUUAUUUGGUUAGUUUAUUAAACACCUUUAAGACAAUUAAUUUUGGUCUGUACCCUUCUAUAAAAUAAUUCAAGUUCUGAACAAACCUCCAAUACAUAAAGCAAAGUUACUUUACCAUACGCAAAUUUCAGAUCAAAAUACAGCACUCUGUUUUCUUACAUUUAUAAAACCCGGUCAAAUACAAACGACAUUAAAAAAGAUAAAACACUUCCACUGAUCCUUGGUACAAUAUUACAGCACAAUUUGCACAGUGGCCACUAAGUCUCCAAAGCACAAUUCAAACUUUAAAAAGGGAGCCUCCCUUUAGUCACCCAACAUUAUACUGAACACGUAAACAAAGCGAGUGCUACUUAAUCCAGGAAAAUUCUCACGUCCCUUUUUUGUAUGUUUGAGCCACAAAGCAAUUCUGCAAGUCAUGUUACGGGUGUGUAACCAAACAGCUUUCUGCUUUGCUGUUACAGCUUUAUGUGAGACCACUCCAUGAAAAUAAACGGGUGGAGGUGGACCAGACUCUGCAAUGGGCAAUUUAUGGCAACUAAGGCAAAUCAAUAAACAUGCUUUUUUUUUAUUAUUUGUUUGUUUUCUGUAAGAACAAAUCAUAGAUCUCUUAAAAAACCAAAAUCAAUGCCGAAUUAUCAGUGGGUACAAUUUGAGCAGCUGCCUUUUUCUUCAUUUUCAUGACAUCUAAUAUAGACACAGAGUGUUUUCAAUUGCUGAGUUUGUUCCAUUUCAAGACCCAGUGUUUCAGCAAUAGUCAAAGUGCCAUCAAAAUUGCACAUUUUUUUUUCAAUUAUGAAAAUAUACAGUAGCGUGCAGUGUUUGUUUGCAACUAUGCCCAGAAGCUUGCGCUUAUGCUCACCUAUGAGCAAUGUGGGAUCCCGUAUUAAACUAAAGUGAGCAAAAAUCAAAACACACAUUGAGAAUGACAGAAUGGAGGCAUCAGAUGACAAACAUUCCUGGGAAGUUCCUACUUAGCGAGCCUUACAAUCACACCUCGAGAAAAGAAAGUAAAAUCAGAGCACUAAUGGGAGGGUCUGAUGUGUCCAACUCAGGCUAGAUUUGCAUAGGCAGCCAAGGCAAUUGCACAAACACCAUAGUGCAACUCAACAGGUAUUUUUGCCCACAGACCCUCAAAUCCCUCGUUCAUCCCCUACCCUCCCCCCACGUUAAUACACUAACAUUACUUACAACUCCAUUAUAAGUUUAAUUACUUUAGUUUCAAUGAAAAAACAUACUGAUGGAUCUACUUUUGCCUCCUCCCGCCCCCAAGCUCACACCAUAUCCAUCAGGUACAUACACAUUCAGAACUUAUUCCUAUCCAUUAACAUCAGUUUUAUCCCAGCAAAACGAAGGAGAAUUGCAUACUGCAUAAAACAGCGCAUAUUUAAUAACGCUUGUGUAAACACCACAGGAUGGAAAAAUAACAGUAAUUAAAAACAAACGAGUGAGGUACAGCAAGAACUUGAUUUGCAAACUUGGUCUUUUAAGUGCAACCGAAACACUACAUGCUGCCCUUCUCAAAAAAGUCUCUCCGUAAUUAAGCUACGUUACUGGGAUUAUUCCCUUACAGCUACAUACUCAUGCUGUAACUCCUUACAUCGACUUAACGCAAAUAGUUAUGGGGCAAAAAUUAAUGUAUGGGGUUAAUUAAAAUUUUCGAAAGGAAUGGUUGUGAAGGGAUCAACCAUGGGAAAUGCGGGAAUACACGUUUUAAAAAUAUUUCCAAUUAUUUCAACACAGAACAGCAAACAGAUUUUCAAAAAUGCAUAGAAACCCUGUCAAUACAAAAAUCCCCGCUAAAAUUACACAACUAAGCAAUUUUAAUCUAAAUAUUUUAUGUGCUUUUCCUAUAAAGGCCACUUUGACGUACAAAUACAAAAAAAUUUACAUUUUUUUCCCCCUCCCCAAAAUAAAUAAUUUGUUUCUCAAUUAAGAAUACUGAGUAUGGAAGCAUAACAAACUUCUCGCAGACCAACCGCUCACUGCAUUGGCUACCUCCAAAGAAGAAAAUCUCUACGUAUUCUUAGUUACCCAAAGAAAUAAAACACCACCUUCAGACUUGGUACUUCCUAGCGCUAUGAAGAGCCUGGGGUUAGGGAUGGAGAGAUCUGGACCCUUCAACACCGUAUGUGCUGGGGAGGGAAUACACACAGAUGUCUGAAGGGAGAUUUGCUGUUUUCUCUCCCGAGUUAUGGAAGAGAUGGAAAUCAGUGAAAUAAAUAGAGGUUAACCUGAAUUAGAGAGAGACAAAGUAAGUGGAGAUAAGAAGGAGAAGCUGUAUGAAGUACAUUGUAGGGUGAGUAAAUGACACGUGUAGGUGAACUACUCAGAAGAAGGCAUGUAGAGGUGAGAAGAGAGGAACAACUGAGAGAGAAGAGCGACUCAUGGGAUGCAGAACCAGGGGAACAACAUAUUGACUUAACAGGGGGAAGAAGAGGAACACAAGGAACAGUCUUCACUGGAAAAUGGAUGCAAUGGGAGAACAAUGAAUUUUCAACAGUCCUGACCAUACGGGCAUUUAUCCCUGAACGGUGACGCAAGCAGCAAAAUCUAAUGCACAGUUACAUGCACAAACAGUGGAAACAAAAACUUAAACUGGAUUUGAGACAUAACAGCUCUUUGUCACUAUAAGCACCAGAGCCACAGCAGGACAAUGUGGGGACACGAGCAAGUCAGACCUACCCAGAGGGGUGCAGCAUACCAAAAAUCCUACAGCAAAGAGAUGCAAACAUUGUGAAGUGGCCCCAACUGACCCAGCGGGUAAAAUGCACUGGUGGAUUCACAAGACAAGCUCCAACUGCCAACAACACAAGACUGACAAGGGGGAAGGUACACUUUGACACCACAUCAUUCAAAUUCAGAACAUCCAACAAACCAGACAGAGAGAGGCAGGGGAGAAGGAGGAAAACCAGCGAACACAAGUUGAUUGCAACAAAGGAUUCUUGGGCAGCCAUUUAGUACAAGUUCUUCUAACCUUGGACCAAGGACUGGAUUAGGAAGGACACAAGAGCCGUGCUUCUUCUGUACCAUAAGGAAUCCCGCUCUCUGGUGCUCUAUGUUGCAUAGUUUGACUGAAGCCAAAGAGCACUUCUUAUUUUCCCCCAGUUUUUUGCAGAAGAGACACUGCAUGCUCAGGUCAGAGCAUCCCAAGGCCUGGCCCUCAGCAAUCAAUGAGUUCAUUUUUGAGGUAACGUAAAGAUUUAGGAGUAGGCAUGUAAAAAAUAAACAACAAAAAACAAAAGCAAAAGCUCAGUUCCCACACAG